CACGUUAUUGAACAUGUUUAAAUGUACAUGAUCAAAAAGGACUACACACAUCUUUGAUACACACGUUGAAAAUAGAGCCCUUGAACUACUAGUGGACAAAACAUUGGUACCGUUCCUUCAUGUUGGCUUAUAAUAUGGUAGUGGGUUGUUGAUUAGUAUGAUCUCAAUUACUGUGUCAGGUUUGACACAAAAGUAUUGCCAACAUAUUCCUUUCGAGUAUGAUUAGGGUGGUUUUGCUUUGUGCGACUUCUCAACAUUUUACAACUUUCAUGAUGUUUCAUUUAUGGAUGAAUUGUAAAAAACGCUCAAUAGACCUUGUUGGAAUGCUAACUACAAAUCAGCUGGAUAAUACAGUGCAUGCACACACUUCAUCCUGUUACGUUAUUUAUUAAAAG